AUGCCCUCUGACCGUUGCCAGGCCAGGGCAAAGUCGGUGGUCAGGCCGAGCCGUCCCCGACCCCCUGAGGACAGGCCCCAGCACUCCCCACCGUCCCCUGGGGCUGCCCAGGCCACGCCCCAGCUGCCGUCCCACCCCUGUGCUGGCCCGGCCGUGCAGCUGGCACUAGAUGGUAGCUGUGUUCUGUCUACCCCCCCCCCCCACUUCUGUUCCAUUCUCUUCCCGCCCUUUCCCCUCUGCCUGCCAGGCCCUUGGCCCCCAGACGCGUCUCCAGCUUUCCGCCUCUGUUCUCUGACACCAGCUCCUCCCGGGGAACACAGCAGGUGUGGCCCAGCCUCGGUCCCGGAGGGCAGGUCUGGGGGCACAGCCCCUGUGCUGGGGCCUGAGGGUGCUGGUGGGAGCGGCGGCUCAGGAAGGAAGGGUGCUGGCGCUUGUCAGCGGCACUUUGGAGGGACGGCUGGGGGUGAGCGCUUGGAACGGAGACGGGGCGGCAGUUGGCGGUGGCAGCUGGACGGGCGGUUGGGGCUUGGCAGGGGCGCCGGCCCGGAGGACAGCUGGGGUGGGGCAGCCGUGGGGUUGGCAGGUAGCCCCUGGCCCCGAGCGACUCUGGAGGGUGGUCUCGGGGAGGCCCAGCAGGAGAGCAGGGCCAGCUGGCCACAGACGUGGGCGGGGCGGUGCCGUGCUGCAGCCUGGAGCCGCCUCGCCUCGGCCGGUCCACCCGGGGUGACGUGCAGGGGCGGGUCCCGCGGGGCAGCCCCAGCAUCCUUAGGCCCGCCCUGCCCUCAGCCCCUCUGCCUCCCGGUCGGGUCCUGCUUCCAGCAGGGGCUGGGAGAGGGCAGGGGCAGGUUCCGGGCAGCUCCCCGGGAGGGGGCAGGACUCCCAGGGCUGUUGCCAUGGGGAUGGCAGAGCAACACCACCGGUCGGAGAAUAAACAGACAAGUUCUCCGACUGAAGUCAGCUCAGAAAACCCAGCUGGGGGAGCACGGGGGUGGGGACGCUGCCUGGGGGAAGGCGGUGUGGCGGUGA
rnacentral:lncRNA from 1 species